GUGAGUCAUCGAAUCUUUGAACGCACAUUGCGCCCUUUGGUAGCCCAAAGGGCAUAUCUGUUCGAGUGUCAUUUACCUCUUCAAGCUCUGCUUGGUGUUGGGUGCUUGCCUACUAGGCUCACCUUGAAACAAUGAGUGCUUGCGAAGCCUGUAAGCAGCGGAGUAGAAUCUGCUAAUUAGGGGCGUAGCGCACUGUAAACUCUCUUCACCUUUUGACCUCGGAUCAGAUAGGGAUACCCGCUGAACUUAAGCAUAUCAAUAAGCGGAGGA
rnacentral:misc_RNA from 1 species